rnacentral:miRNA from 1 species
CUAACUACCAUGCUCCCUCGCGGUUCCCAUAAUUCCCAGCAUCUACACAUCAUAGAGUAAUGAUGUGCCCAUGCUGGGAAUUAUGGGAACCGCGAGGGAGCAUGGUAGUUA